AUCCAGUUGACGAGUCCUAAAUAGGACGAAGCUUGCAUCCUGGAU
rnacentral:hammerhead_ribozyme from 1 species